rnacentral:rRNA from 1 species
UACGAAGGGGGCUAGCGUUGUUCGGAAUCACUGGGCGUAAAGCGCACGCAGGCGGAUUGAUAAGUCGGGGGUGAAAGCCCCGGGCUCAACCUGGGAAUUGCAUUCGAGACUGAAUAGCUAGGGUACGGUAGAGGGAAGUGGAAUUUCCGGUGUAGCGGUGAAAUGCGUAGAUAUCGGAAGGAACAUCAGUGGCGAAAGCGACUUCCUGGACCAGUACCGACGUUCAGGCACGAAAGCGUGGGGAGCAAACAGG